UGCAAGUCGAGCGAGCUGAAUUCAAAGAUUCCUUCGGGGUGAUUUGUUGGACGCUAGCGGCGGAUGGGUGAGUAACACGUGGGCAAUCUGCCCUAAAGACUGGGAUACCACUUGGAAACAGGUGCUAAUACCGGAUAACAACAUGAAUCGCAUGAUUCAAGUUUGAAAGGCGGCGCAAGCUGUCACUUUAGGAUGAGCCCGCGGCGCAUUAGCUAGUUGGUGGGGUAAAGGCCUACCAAGGCAAUGAUGCGUAGCCGAGUUGAGAGACUGAUCGGCCACAUUGGGACUGAGACACGGCCCAAACUCCUACGGGAGGCAGCAGUAGGGAAUCUUCCACAAUGGACGCAAGUCUGAUGGAGCAACGCCGCGUGAGUGAAGAAGGUUUUCGGAUCGUAAAGCUCUGUUGUUGGUGAAGAAGGAUAGAGGCAGUAACUGGUCUUUAUUUGACGGUAAUCAACCAGAAAGUCACGGCUAACUACGUGCCAGCAGCCGCGGUAAUACGUAGGUGGCAAGCGUUGUCCGGAUUUAUUGGGCGUAAAGCGAGCGCAGGCGGAAUGAUAAGUCUGAUGUGAAAGCCCACGGCUCAACCGUGGAACUGCAUCGGAAACUGUCAUUCUUGAGUGCAGAAGAGGA
rnacentral:rRNA from 1 species